UGAAAGAACAAAUCCUCUGACAGUUAAGUAAAGUCCACUUGAGUUUUUUUAGAAUAAGUCCAAAUCGUUUACAUGGUAAUCAUGAAAAAUAUAAAUGCCAAAAAUCUGUAAAUAGCAAAAGGCACCACUUUGGGAUCUGCCU